UGGUAAUGCCCCUGUCCUGGCCUGACCCUUCCAUGGGCACCAGGCUCCUCUGCUGGGUGGUCCUGGGUUUCCUAGGGACAGAUCACACAGACACUGGAGUCUCCCAGUCCCCAAGGUACAAAGUCACAGAGAGGGGACAGGAUGUAGGGGCCAGGAUGUAGCUCUCAGGUGUGAUCCAAUUUCGGGUCAUGCAAUCCUUUAUUGGUAUCAAAGGCCCUGGGGCAGGGCCCAGAGAUUCUGACUUUCUUCAGUUACGAAGCUCAACCAGACAAAUCAGGGCUGCCCAGUGAUCGCUUCUCUGCAGCGAGGCCUGAGGGAUCCGUCUCCACUCUGAAGAUCCUGCCCACACAGCAGGGGAACUCGGCCGUGUAUCUCUGUGCCAGCAGCUUAGCCACAGUGUGGCACAGUCACCUCCUUCCUGUUCACAAACCUCGUCCUUCUCUCUCCUUGCAGCUACUAGAGACCCUUAACAGAGGCCUCUCUUUGAUUCUCACUUUUCAUAGGAAAGAAGUAGAUUUGGACAUCGGCUGUCCUUUGGGUAGAAAGAGACCACGGAUUCAUUCCUGAAACACAGUGAAUACAAAUGUAGGUGGUGAAAACAAUCACAGCCCACUGCACUCUAGGAGUCCUCAGAGCCAGCUUACUUCUCCAAGCAAGGAGUG